UACAGAGGGUGCAAGCGUUAUCCGGAAUCACUGGGCUUAAAGGGCGCGUAGGCGGACUCCCAAGUCCGGGGUGAAAUCUUUCGGCUUAACCGGAAAAGUGCCUUGGAUACUGGGAGUCUUGAGGGAGGCAGGGCGGAUGGAACUUCCGGUGGAGCGGUGAAAUGCGUUGAUAUCGGAAGGAACGCCGGUGGCGAAAGCGAUCCGCUGGACCUCUUCUGACGCUGAGGCGCGAAAGCCAGGGAGCAAACGGG
rnacentral:rRNA from 1 species